rnacentral:lncRNA from 1 species
AGCAUAGCAACAGCAGCGUAGCUGAACAUCUUACGGAUGGCCCAGGGCUCCAAAGGCUCGUUUCCUAAGUGAGAGAGAGCCUGGCUGAAGCUGUAUUACCAUUCAUUCUCCAGCCUCCGAAGUCUCAAAGCAUCACUUCCACCAUACUCUAACUGUCAAGACAAACACAAAGGCCCAGAAACUGCCAGACUGUCUUCUGAAGUGGCUAUAAUAUUUACACUCCCAUCAGCAGUGUAGAAGGGGUCUCACUAUGUUGUCUGGAGUGCUGUGGUGGAGUGGAGUGGCUAUUCACAGAGCCUGUUCUGCUGGGACACAGAAUCACUUGCUCCAUCUCAUACAUUGAUGAUGAUUAAUUUGUAUGUGUACCUUCCAAAAAAGAUGGUUGUGUUUGAAUGGAGGCCUUCUGGACAGGAAAAUUGCAAAGUACAAUUAACAUUUGAGUCUGUCUGAGUCAUGAAGAAAUGGAGAUUACUGAAAAUAAUUCAUUUUGGUAUCUUCUUACAUCCUGAGAGACUAAUCUUUCCAAGUUCAUCUGAGGCUCCUCUUCUCCAUGACAACCUCAUCCAGGGAUUUCUUCCUGUCCUGGUGUUUUAUGACAUGUGGAAGGGGACUGUAGCAGGUGAUCUCCAAAGUCUCUGGAGACUUACUAAUGUGCAUCCUCAUCUCGCUUGUAAGGAUAAUAGCCUUCCUCCAAACCUCACACACUUUUGGAGGAGAUCACUUUUUUUAAAGUGCAUGGAAAUGUUUUGAAACAGUGAAAUCUAUAAUGAUAGGUUUCAUAAUUCUAACAUCCACACCAUAUGAAUCACAUCCUUCCUGAGAUAAUGAGCACACAAUUGCCUGGAUACCUGAAGGAAUGGAGACAGCGGCAGAAAACACUGCAGAGAGGUGGAAACAUCCGUUAAUAUUUUAAAAUCCCAUUACUGCUACCAACAAUAAUAAUGGAUGCAUAGAAAUAGAUCUGGAUUAGCUGAGCUUGAAACAGUCCAUCUCACACACACACAAAAGAAUUUCAGAUACAGUGAACCCACAUGUUGAAGCUUUCUAGUAUAAUAAAAAUUUCAACUGUUCUGUUGAAUCAUCUGCCUGAUUGGAGGCUACAGAAAAGAUGUCAUCUUAGGAGUGCUUGCUCUGAGUGAGGCUCAUCUUCAAAUCUGAAUGACCACAAGGAGAUUUGAUUAUACAUGUGAACACCUCAGAAGGCACAGCCCACCCAGAAGGCAGACAGGAGGAGACAGACACUAGAGCUCACCGGCUCGCCCUCUCACUCCUACUCAUCUGAGAAGGCAGCCAGCUAACCCUUCAGCCAGGAAGAGGGUCCUCAUCAGAACCUGGCCGUGGUGGCAUCCAGAUCUUGAACCUCCGGACUCCAGACUGUGAGAAAAUAAGUGUGUUGUUUAAACUA